rnacentral:rRNA from 1 species
CUGCCCUUGGGUCCGGCAUAACCCCGGGAAACUGGGGAUAAUUCCGGAUAACGCAUAUAUGCUGGAAUGCUUUAUGCGUCAAAUGGAUUCGUCUGCCCAAGGAUGGGUCUGCGGCCUAUCAGGUAGUAGUGGGUGUAAUGUACCUACUAGCCGACGACGGGUACGGGUUGUGAGAGCAAGAGCCCGGAGAUGGAUUCUGAGACAUGAAUCCAGGCCCUACGGGGCGCAGCAGGCGCGAAAACUUUACAAUGCGGGAAACCGUGAUAAGGGGACACCGAGUGCCAGCAUCAUAUGCUGGCUGUCCGGGUGUGUAAAAUACACCCGUUAGCAAGGGCCGGGCAAGACCGGUGCCAGCCGCCGCGGUAACACCGGCGGCCCGAGUGGUGAUCGUGAUUAUUGGGUCUAAAGGGUCCGUAGCCGGUUUGGUCAGUCCUCCGGGAAAUCUGACGGCUUAACCGUUAGGCUUUCGGAGGAUACUGCCAGGCUUGGAACCGGGAGAGGUAAGAGGUACUACAGGGGUAGGAGUGAAAUCUUGUAAUCCCUGUGGGACCACCUGUGGC